CAGUAGCCGCGGUAAUACGGAGGGUGCAAGCGUUAUCCGGAUUUAUUGGGUUUAAAGGGUCCGUAGGCGGAUCUGUAAGUCAGUGGUGAAAUCUCACAGCUUAACUGUGAAACUGCCAUUGAUACUGCAGGUCUUGAGUAAAUUUGAAGUGGCUGGAAUAAGUAGUGUAGCGGUGAAAUGCAUAGAUAUUACUUAGAACACCAAUUGCGAAGGCAGGUCACUAAGAUUUAACUGACGCUGAUGGACGAAAGCGUGGGGAGCGAACAGGAUUAGAGACCCGCGUAGUCCCUGUCUCUUAUAC
rnacentral:rRNA from 1 species